AUACUGUGGUUUCUCUUCAGAUUGUAUAAAUCCUUCGCCUUUUACUAAAGAUUUCCAUGGAGAGAAACAGUUAUGAGUUUACAACUAAUUUGAGGCCCCGCUUUGGUGGGACU